rnacentral:rRNA from 1 species
UGGGAACGCCGACUAAUACCCCAUGGCAUUGAUUUCAGGAAWCUGUUAUCAAUUAAAGAAUUUCGGAAACGGAUAGGCUCGCGUGACAUUAGCUAGAUGGCGGGGUAACGGCCCACCAUGGCGACGAUGUCUAGGGGUUCUGAGAGGAAGGUCCCCCACACUGGAACUGAGACACGGUCCAGACUCCUACGGGAGGCAGCAGUGAGGAAUAUUGGUCAAUGGUCUGACGACUGAACCAGCCAUGCCGCGUGAAGGUGACGGCCCUAUGGGUCUUAAACUUCUUUUGCAAGGGAGCAAUAAGGCGUACGUGUACGUCAAUGAGAGUACCUUGCGAAUAAGCAUCGGCUAACUCCGUGCCAGCAGCCGCGGUAAUACGGGGGAUGCAAGCGUUAUCCGGAUUUAUUGGGUUUAAAGGGUGCGUAGGCGGUCUGGUAAGUCAGCGGUGAAAUUUAGGGGCUCAACCUCUACCGUGCCGUUGAUACUGUCAGGCUAGAAUGCGGAUGCCGUGGGAGGAAUGUGUGGUGUAGCGGUGAAAUGCAUAGAUAUCACACAGAACACCGAUUGCGAAGGCAUCUCACGAAUCCGCGAUUGACGCUGAUGCACGAAAGCGUGGGGAUCAAACAGGAUUAGAUACCCUGGUAGUCCACGCUGUAAACGAUGAUGACUAACCGUCGGCGAUACACAGUCGGUGGCCAAGCGAAAGCGAUAAGUCAUCCACCUGGGGAGUACGACCGCAAGGUUGAAACUCAAAGGAAUUGACGGGGGCCCGCACAAGCGGAGGAACAUGUGGUUUAAUUCGAUGAUACGCGAGGAACCUUACCCGGGCUCGAACGGCAGAUGAAUUGAGUAGAGAUAUUCAAGUCUUCGGACAUCUGUCGAGGUGCUGCAUGGUUGUCGUCAGCUCGUGCUGUGAAGUGUCGGCUUAAGUGCCAUAACGAGCGCAACCCUUGCCGUUAGUUGCCAUCAGGUCAAGCUGGGGACUCUAGCGGGACUGCCACCGCAAGGUGUGAGGAAGGGGGGGAUGACGUCAAAUCAGCACGGCCCUUACGUCCGGGGCGACACACGUGUUACAAUGGUGGGUACAGAGGGAAGCUACCUGGCGACAGGAUGCAGAUCUCGAAAACCCAUCCCAGUUCGGAUUGGUAUCGGCAACCAGWYUCCCACAAGAA